UGAAGAUUUAAAAAAUUGAAGCCAAAUGGCUAAAAAAGGAUUGUUCUGGAGAAAGCUGUUAAUGUUUUGUAUAAUUCCAUUCCUGUGGAAUAGAAGGGGUGCUUCCUCCUCCCCCUGAUCUAAAUAAGAAAGGGGGCUCAAAGGAAAUUACUUAUAGAAGUUGACUUACUAUCCUGUAGUCUGGAAGCAUUGGGAUGGCAAGAGAAGCUGGAGACAUUUUGGCCCAAAGCGGGGGAACCGAGAGAAAGAGGACCACCUUGAGAAUAAAACUCUCUUCUGUUACAUGGUAGGACAAGGGUAUUUGAGUUUUCUUGUGGAUCAGAUGUAGGCCACAUAAGAGAGAGGCAAUAUGGAGCUACUUUGAAUUCCACUCCCUUCCCCAAGAAACUGUGAUGCUAAUGAGAGAUAUUACUUCUACAUGCAUGAAAGCUGAGGGAAGAAUUUGAAGCAGCCAGCAAGUGAUAAGUAAGGGUCAAGAAAGUUGAAAUUGGGAGAGUUCUCCUGUGGCACAGCCAGUUAAGGAUCCAGCUUUGUUACUGCUGUGGCUCUGGUUACAGCUGUGCCACAGUUUCUAUCCCUGGCCUGGGAACUUCUGCAUAAUGCAGGCGUGGCCAAAAAAGAAGAACGUUGAGAUUGGAAAGAUCCAGUGUGAUAUCAUUGAGAAAUUCACCAAGGCAUCCCAGAAGAGAAAGAAUUAACUUUGGGACACUGCCACCCUGAGACGGUUCUAUCACAGAUUAUUCCAUGCCUCUCAAGUGAGAUCUAUCCUGCUGCUUCCUUGUCCUUCCUCAUUACCCUAUCUCCAAGCCUGAUGGAUGCAGAGAAGACCUGACAACAGUGAGAAGAGGAAAAAUGUGGCGAAAAGAGAGAAGUCAAGAGUGUUCUUUGCCCAUUCUGGACUCCAGGGCUAAAGUAAUACCAAGCUCAGGAAUACAUUUUCAUUUUUGGCAUUUGAGAAAUCCACAUACAACAGUAGCGUGAAUGAAUGAAGAGGCUCGAGGAGCAGCAAAACCUACAAACUGAGAGAUGGGGCGCAGCACUUGGAGGGAGCUGUGGCUAGGUGGAUGGAUUCCAAAGGUGUCCUCAACAAUACUCUAUGAUGUGAUAUUAUAAUGGAUUAGAAUAUAUUAGGAGUCCCUGCUGUGGCACAGUGGAUUAAGAAUCUGACUGCGGCAGCUUGGGUUAAUGUGGAGGCGUGGGUUCAAUCCCUGACCCAGUUCAGUGAGUUAAAGGAUCUGGCAUUGCUGCAGCUGUGGCAUAUGUCACAGCUACAGCUGGGAUUCAGUCCCUGAACAGGAAACUUCCAUGUGCCAUGGGUGUAGCCAAUAAAAUAAUAAAAUAUU
ensembl:lncRNA